GUGCGAGAACUCAUAGUCAUGGAAGCAUGGCCAGGACUCCUGCCUGGGCUUUCAACACAUUAUCAUAUUUAAUUCUCCCAGGCACUGUAGAAGGUUGGGAAUAUUAAGAAAUUAAUAUCAUUUUACAGAGGAGAAAGCUGAGGCAGGCUAACAGCAAAUUUAAGAGAACAGGCACAAGAAGGUGAUAGAUCCUGCUUUGAGUUCUGGUUCUGUACUCAGAAGAUGUGAGCCCUUGGGCAAGUUCCUUACUCGGCCGGACCUCAACUUCCUUAUAGGCAAUAUGGGUCUGCUCCAUUUCCUUUCCAGAUACUGUUUGCCAGGACUGGCUCAAGAUCUGGCAUAGGGUAUUCCAACUCAAUUGGUGGGAAUUAAGUUAACAGGAGGAGGAUUUCCCAAGAUAUUAGAUCUCCAGCUGCAUAUCAGAACCCUCUAGGAUUGCUGGGAUUAUAACUUGCCGCCUCUUACAUAGAUGGUGAGGAAGACAACCUAAUCCAGUGGUUGAAUCUCAAGUGGAUAGAACAAGAAGCUGAUGUCAAGAAAAGAAAUGUUGGGGGUGCCUGUGUGGCUCAG